UAAGCCCUGCUCAGAAGUCAAGAGCAGCAGCGCCGCCGCUCCUUGCAGCCUUUCAUGCUGCAGGCGCUUCUCAUUCUUGUGUCUCGGCCUCUCUGGGCGCCCCGGGACAAAGCCCCCAGAACCCGGUCGCUCCCUUCCCGCUAAAUCCCCUUCGGGGUCAGUGCUCGCUACCAGCACAGGGCCGCACGCCUCUCCUGCUAGCCGUGUGGCUCUUAAAGAGCCCCACACCCCUCCGCCCCGCGUGGUCCGAGCAGCCGGUGGGUCUGCGAACUGAAUUCUACCCUCCGUUUUAGGUCUCCCUUCACUCCAAGAGCACCCAC
ensembl:misc_RNA